ACCGAAGGUCCGGGAAGUGGACCCUAAACAAGCCAUGCAGUCUUAGCCCGGGC
rnacentral:rRNA from 1 species